GUUGUUGUGAAGAUCAGCAACUGCACCUAUCUCCUCCAGGGCUAAAGUUCUUAAAAGAGGGUCUGACCUUUCUCCAACUUCUGUUCCUGGUGAAUGAGUGAGUCAAUAAAUGGAUAAGGGCAUGACUAAGUGGAACAGACUUCCUGUUGCACCUAAUUGAAAUAUCUUUGACUGAUUGAAUGAUUUAUUCAAGAAGUGUUCUCACUUGACAAAGUGCAACUCCUUCUUCAGUGAGCUGAGAGGUGCAAUGGUCCUUGAAGAGCUGAGGCCCAGAGCAGAUGAGGAAACCGAGGCCAGAGAGUUGAAGUGGCUGCCCACAAUCACAUAGAAAAUGGCAAGAGUGAGGAUUCAGAGAAGCCCUUUGACUCAAAUUCUGAACUGCAUCUGUCAUA